rnacentral:rRNA from 1 species
GGUAACAUUUACUAGCUUGCUAGUAAGAUGACGAGUGGCGGACGGGUGAGUAAUGCUUGGGAACUUGCCUUUGCGAGGGGGAUAACAGUUGGAAACGACUGCUAAUACCGCAUAAUGUCUUCGGACCAAACGGGGCUUCGGCUCCGGCGCAAAGAGAGGCCCAAGUGAGAUUAGCUAGUUGGUAAGGUAACGGCUUACCAAGGCGACGAUCUCUAGCUGUUCUGAGAGGAAGAUCAGCCACACUGGGACUGAGACACGGCCCAGACUCCUACGGGAGGCAGCAGUGGGGAAUAUUGCACAAUGGGGGAAACCCUGAUGCAGCCAUGCCGCGUGUGUGAAGAAGGCCUUCGGGUUGUAAAGCACUUUCAGUUGUGAGGAAAAGUUAGUAGUUAAUACCUGCUAGCCGUGACGUUAACAACAGAAAAGCACCGGCUAACUCCGUGCCAGCAGCCGCGGUAAUACGGAGGGUGCGAGCGUUAAUCGGAAUUACUGGGCGUAAAGCGCACGCAGGCGGUUUGUUAAGCUAGAUGUGAAAGCCCCGGGCUCAACCUGGGAUGGUCAUUUAGAACUGGCAGACUAGAGUCUUGGAGAGGGGAGUGGAAUUCCAGGUGUAGCGGUGAAAUGCGUAGAUAUCUGGAGGAACAUCAGUGGCGAAGGCGACUCCCUGGCCAAAGACUGACGCUCAUGUGCGAAAGUGUGGGUAGCGAACAGGAUUAGAUACCCUGGUAGUCCACACCGUAAACGCUGUCUACUAGCUGUGUGUGUCUUUAAGGCGUGCGUAGCGAAGCUAACGCGCUAAGUAGACCGCCUGGGGAGUACGGCCGCAAGGUUAAAACUCAAAUGAAUUUGACGGGGGCCCGCACAAGC